rnacentral:rRNA from 1 species
UGAGAGUUUGAUCCUGGCUCAGGAUGAACGCUGGCGGUCUGCUUAACACAUGCAAGUCGAACGCAACCUUCGGGUUGAGUGGCGGACGGGUGAGUAACGCGUGAGAAUCUGCCUUGGGGUCGGGGACAACCACUGGAAACGGUGGCUAAUACCGGAUACGCCUUCGGGUAAAAGAUUUAUUGCCCUAAGAGGAGCUCGCGUCUGAUUAGCUAGUUGGUGAGGUAAGAGCUCACCAAGGCAGCGAUCAGUAGCUGGUCUGAGAGGACGAUCAGCCACACUGGGACUGAGACACGGCCCAGACUCCUACGGGAGGCAGCAGUGGGGAAUUUUCCGCAAUGGGCGAAAGCCUGACGGAGCAAGACCGCGUGAGGGAGGAAGGCUCUUGGGUUGUAAACCUCUUUUCUCAGGGAAGAAGCUCUGACGGUACCUGAGGAAUCAGCCUCGGCUAACUCCGUGCCAGCAGCCGCGGUAAUACGGAGGAGGCAAGCGUUAUCCGGAAUUAUUGGGCGUAAAGCGUCCGCAGGUGGCGAUUCAAGUCUGCUGUCAAAGCACGGGGCUUAACUCCGUAAAGGCAGUGGAAACUGAAUAGCUAGAGUGCCGUAGGGGUAGAGGGAAUUCCCGGUGUAGCGGUGAAAUGCGUAGAGAUCGGGAAGAACAUCGGUGGCGAAAGCGCUCUACUGGACGGCAACUGACACUCAGGGACGAAAGCUAGGGGAGCGAAUGGGAUUAGAUACCCCAGUAGUCCUAGCUGUAAACGAUGG